rnacentral:rRNA from 1 species
ACUCCAUGACGGGAGCAGGCAGUAGGGAAUUUUCCGCAAUGGACGAAGUCUGACGGAGCAAUGCCGCGUGAGUGAUGAAGGUUUUCGAAUCGUAAAGCUCUGUUGUAAGGGAAGAAUAGCAAGAAUAGGAAAUGAUUCUUGUCUGACGGUACCUUACCAGAAAGCCACGGCUAACUACGUGCCAGCAGCCGCGGUAAUACGUAGGUGGCAAGCGUUAUCCGGAAUUAUUGGGCGUAAAGCGCAUGUAGGCGGCUUUUUAAGUCUGAUGUGAAAGCCAGUGGCUCAACCACUGAAUUGCAUUGGAUACUGGAAAGCUAGAAUCUUGGAGAGGUAAGUGGAAUUUCAUGUGUAGCGGUGGAAUGCGUAGAUAUAUGAAGGAACACCAAUGGCGAAGGCAGCUUACUGGACAAGUAUUGACGCUGAGAUGCGAAAGUGUGGUAGCAAACAGGAUUAGAUA